rnacentral:rRNA from 1 species
CCUACGGGUGGCUGCAGUGGGGGAUAUUGCACAAUGGGGGAAACCCUGAUGCAGCGACGCCGCGUGUGGGAAGACGGUCUUCUGGAUUGUAAACCACUGUCCCCAGGGACGAAAAUGACGGUACCUGGGGAGGAAGCUCCGGCUAACUACGUGCCAGCAGCCGCGGUAAUACGUAGGGAGCAAGCGUUGUACGGAAUUACUGGGUGUAAAGGGAGCGUAGGCGGGGAUGCAAGUUGGGUGUCAAAACUACCGGCUCAACCGAUAGUCGCACUCAAAACUGCAGCUCUUGAGUGAAGUAGAGGCAGGCGGAAUUCCUAGUGUAGCGGUGAAAUGCGUAGAUAUUAGGAGGAACACCAGUGGCGAAGGCGGCCUGCUGGGCUUUUACUGACGCUGAGGCUCGAAAGUGUGGGGAGCAAACAGGAUUAGAUACCCUGGUAGUC